rnacentral:rRNA from 1 species
AAAUUGAAGAGUUUGAUCAUGGCUCAGAUUGAACGCUGGCGGCAGGCCUAACACAUGCAAGUCGAACGGUAGCACAGAGAGCUUGCUCUCGGGUGACGAGUGGCGGACGGGUGAGUAAUGUCUGGGAAACUGCCUGAUGGAGGGGGAUAACUACUGGAAACGGUGGCUAAUACCGCAUAAUGUCGCAAGACCAAAGAGGGGGACCUUCGGGCCUCUUGCCAUCAGAUGUGCCCAGAUGGGAUUAGCUUGUUGGUGAGGUAACGGCUCACCAAGGCGACGAUCCCUAGCUGGUCUGAGAGGAUGACCAGCCACACUGGAACUGAGACACGGUCCAGACUCCUACGGGAGGCAGCAGUGGGGAAUAUUGCACAAUGGGCGCAAGCCUGAUGCAGCCAUGCCGCGUGUAUGAAGAAGGCCUUCGGGUUGUAAAGUACUUUCAGCGGGGAGGAAGGUGUUGUGGUUAAUAACCGCAGCAAUUGACGUUACCCGCAGA